rnacentral:rRNA from 1 species
UAAGGAAUAUUGCUCAAUGGGAGAAAUCCUGAAGCAGCAACGCCGCGUGGAGGAUGAAGGGUCUAUGACUUGUAAACUCCUGUAAAGAAGGAAAAAAUUCCCAUUAGAUGGGAGAUGAUGGUACUUCUGGAGUAAGCCCCGGCUAACUACGUGCCGGCAGCCGCGGUAAUACGUAGGGGGCAAGCGUUGUCCGGAUUUACUGGGUGUAAAGGGUGCUCAGGCGGAUUUGUAAGUCAGAGGUGAAAUCUUACAGCUUAACUGUGAAACUGCCUGUGAUACUGCAAGCCUAGAGUAUGGAAGAGAGUGAUGGAAUAUCUGGUGUAGCAGUGAAAUGCGUAGAUAUCAGAUAGAACACCAAUGGCGAAGGCAGUCACUUGGUCCAUUACUGACGCUAAAGCACGAAAGCGUGGGUAGCAAACA